rnacentral:rRNA from 1 species
AUGCAGCAGCCUCCCGGUUUCCAUGAUAAUGUCCAUCCUGAUUAUGUCUGCAAGUUGCACAAAGCAUUAUAUGGGUUAAAACAGUCACCUAGGGCCUGGUAUGCUCGCCUCAGCGAUCGUCUUCAGCAGUUGGGCUUCCACUCGUCAGCAGCUGACACUUCCUUGUUCAUCUUUGUCCAUGGUGAUGUUACUAUGUAUAUGCUUGUGUAUGUUGAUGACAUUGUCAUAGUCAGCUCCUCUUCAUCAGCACCGGAUCGUCUUCUCCGUCAACUCUCUGCCACAUUCCCUGUCAAGGAUCUUGGCACCCUUCGCUAUUUUCUCGGUAUUGAAGUGCUUCCCAAUUCCAGGGGAAUGACUCUCAUACAGAAGAACUACGCCCUUGAUUUUCUACAGCGUACUGACAUGGCCAAUUGUAAAGCAGUCUCAAGUCUCAACACCGAUGUGUACUCAUGA